rnacentral:rRNA from 1 species
GAUGAACGCUGGCGGCGUGCCUAAUACAUGCAAGUCGAGCGAACAGACGAGGAGCUUGCUCCUCUGACGUUAGCGGCGGACGGGUGAGUAACACGUGGAUAACCUACCUAUAAGACUGGGAUAACUUCGGGAAACCGGAGCUAAUACCGGAUAAUAUAUUGAACCGCAUGGUUCAAUAGUGAAAGACGGUUUUGCUGUCUCUUAUAGAUGGAUCCGCGCCGCAUUAGCUAGUUGGUAAGGUAACGGCUUACCAAGGCAACGAUGCGUAGCCGACCUGAGAGGGGGAUCGGCCACACUGGAACGUAGACACGGUCCAGACUCCUACGGGAGGCAGCAGUAGGGAAUCUUCCGCAAUGGGCGAAAGCCUGACGGAGCAACGCCGCGGGAGUGAUGAAGGUCUUCGGAUCGUAAAACUCUGUUAUGAGGGAAGAACAAAUGUGUAAGUAACUAUGCACGUCUUGACGGUACCUAAUCAGAAAGCCACGGCUAACUACGUG